rnacentral:rRNA from 1 species
CUACGGGGCGCAGCAGUAAGGAAUAUUGCGCAAUGGAGGCAACUCUGACGCAGCCAUGCCGCGUGCAGGAAGAAGGCCUUAUGGGUCGUAAACUGCUUUUAUUUAGGAAUAAACCCCCGAACGUGUUCGGGGCUGAAGGUACUAAACGAAUAAGCACCGGCUAACUCCGUGCCAGCAGUCGCGGUAAUACGGAGGGUGCAAGCGUUAUCCGGAUUUAUUGGGCUUAAAGGGUGCGCAGGCGGGCUAUUAAGUCAGUGGUGAAAUCCCGGGGCUCAACUCCGGAACUGCCAUUGAUACUGAUAGUCUUGAGUUUGGUUGAAGUGGGCGGAAUGUAGCAUGUAGCGGUGAAAUGCAUAGAUAUGCUACAGAACACCAAUCGCGAAGGUAGCUCACUAAGCCAAAACUGACGCUCAUGCACGAAAGCGUGGGGAUCAAACAGGAUUAGAUACCCCCGUAGUC